GCGCAUAUGAUGUAAUGGUAACAUGACAUACUUCCAAUAUGUCUUUAAGAGUUCGAAUCUCUUUUUGCGUA
rnacentral:tRNA from 4 species